GACGAACGCUGGCGGCGUGCUUAACACAUGCAAGUCGAACGGAAAGGCCCUGCUUGCCGGGUACUCGAGUGGCGAACGGGUGAGUAACACGUGGGUGAUCUGCCCUGCACUUCGGGAUAAGCCUGGUAAACUGGGUCUAAUACCGGAUAGGAGCCAUUUUUAGUGUGAUGGUUGGAAAGUUUUUUCGGUGUAGGAUGAGCUCGCGGCCUAUCAGCUUGUUGGUGGGGUAAUGGCCUACCAAGGCGGCGACGGGUAGCCGGCCUGAGAGGGUGGACGGCCACAUUGGGACUGAGAUACGGCCCAGACUCCUACGGGAGGCAGCAGUGGGGAAUAUUGCACAAUGGGCGCAAGCCUGAUGCAGCGACGCCGCGUGGGGGAUGACGGCCUUCGGGUUGUAAACUCCUUUCGCUAGGGACGAAGCUUUUUGUGACGGUACCUAGAUAAGAAGCACCGGCUAACUACGUG
rnacentral:rRNA from 1 species